UACAGAGGGGGCAAGCGUUAUUCGGAAUUAUUGGGCGUAAAGGGCGCGUAGGCGGCCACCGCAAGUCGAUUGUGAAAUCUCCGGGCUUAACCCGGAAAGGUCAACCGAUACUGCGGGGCUAGAGUGCAGAAGGGGCAACUGGAAUUCUCGGUGUAGCGGUGAAAUGCGUAGAUAUCAGGAGGAAUACCGGUGGCGAAAGCGACUCUCUGGACGGCAACUGACGCUGAGGCGCGACAGCGUGGGGAGCAAACAGG
rnacentral:rRNA from 1 species